rnacentral:rRNA from 1 species
AGAACGAACGCUGGCGGCAGGCUUAACACAUGCAAGUCGAGCGCCCCGCAAGGGGAGCGGCAGACGGGUGAGUAACGCGUGGGAACAUACCCUCCGGUUCGGAAUAACUCAGGGAAACUUGAGCUAAUACCGGAUACGGUCGAGAGGCGAAAGAUUUAUCGCCGGAGGAUUGGCCCGCGUCCGAUUAGCUAGUUGGUGUGGUAAUGGCGCACCAAGGCGACGAUCGGUAGCUGGUCUGAGAGGAUGAUCAGCCACAUUGGGACUGAGACACGGCCCAAACUCCUACGGGAGGCAGCAGUGGGGAAUAUUGGACAAUGGGCGAAAGCCUGAUCCAGCCAUGCCGCGUGAGUGAUGAAGGCCUUAGGGUUGUAAAGCUCUUUCACCACGACGAUAAUGACGGUAGUGGGAGAAGAAGCCCGGCUAACUUCGUGCCAGCAGCCGC